rnacentral:rRNA from 1 species
ACUAUUAAUAUGACUUUUCCAAAAAUGCAAAGAUCCCAUCUGAUCUCGGAAGCUAAGCAGGGUCAGUCCUGGUUAGUACUUGGAUGGGAGACCACCUAGGAAGAUCAGGUGCUGUAGGCG